AUUGAACGCUGGCGGCAGGCUUAACACAUGCAAGUCGAGCGGAGAGAGGUAGCUUGCUACUGAUCUUAGCGGCGGACGGGUGAGUGAUGCUUAGGAAUCUGCCUAGUAGUGGGGGACAACAUUUCGCAAGAAAUGCUAAUACCGCAUACGUCCUACGGGAGAAAGCAGGGGAUCUUCGGACGUUGCGCUAAUAGAUGAGCCUAAGUCGGAUUAGCUAGUUGGUGGGGUAAAGGCCUACCAAGGCGACGAUCUGUAGCGGGUCUGAGAGGAUGAUCCGCCACACUGGGACUGGGACACGGGCCAGACCCCUACGGGAGGCAGCAGGGGGGAAUAUUGGACAAUGGGCGGAAGCCUGAUCGAGCCAUGCCGCGUGUGUGAAGAAGGCCUUAUGGUUGUAAAGCACUUUAAGCGAGGAGGAGGCUACUUUAGUUAAUACCUAGAGAUAGUGGACGUUACUCGCAGAAUAAGCACCGGCUAACUCUGUGCCAGCCGCCGCCGUAAUAC
rnacentral:rRNA from 1 species